rnacentral:lncRNA from 1 species
CUGUAGAGGCCUGGAGAAGCUGGCCUGCCUUGACUUUCAAUAUGGCCCUAGGAGAACUCUUGGUGUUAUAAUGAACGGAAUGGUUAUGUUUACUGUUUGAAUAUUUUUAUGCUGUUUUCAAUAAGAAUGUUCUAAUUGUUCCUGAGUGCAUCAAAAUAAAUAGUAGUAGAUGCUUUGAGAUUGCUCAUUUAAUGAUCCCUUAAUUUAUGUAUUUUCUCUUUAAAAAAGAACUUCCUUAUCUUUUGAAUCCAUGCAGACAAAUAUUUAAAAUGAUGAGCUCAACAGUUAAUGGAGACAUAAUCUUGAAAUCAUGCAGCGAAUGUGAUUGCUAGGGCACAUGCUCUCAGCUACUGCUCCAGCAGCGUGCCUGCCUGCUUCUGUGCUCCUGCCACACUGGACACUGAUUUCCUACUGGAAACUGUUAAGCGGCCUCCAGUUAGAUGCUUCCUAGUGGCUCUUCACAGGAAUAGAAAAGUAAUAAGAUAUUGUUACCUAUCCAAUUGGAAUUUAUAGACAGUGCAAUCUAUUUGUCCCCCUUGGAUUAUGAGCAUUCAGAAUUAGUACUUAUAUUCUCCUUAUAUGAUGGUAGUCAACCGCCUACUGCACACACAAAGCCUGUUAUUGUCUGUCAGGAUAUGGUGCGUGGUGCCCAAGGAAUGUGGCUGAGAACCAGGGUUCUGGUACCUAGAUUUGCUCUAAUGCAGACACUGAGGUUCCAUAUAGCAUUUUUCUUCUUCUUUCUAGAACUAGAUCCUAAGAGCAGAAGACAAUCAUAUGUCCUGAGAACCCAUUGGAGGUUGAACGCUGCUGGGUGGAUGGAGAAAGGCAGAAAUGCAGAAUUUCGUCAUUGCCUGGAUGCUGACUUUAUCCAAAGAGAAGAUGCAUGAGGAGUGUACAUGCCUCAGAACUGGAUGCUGAGACAUGCCCCCGCGAUCCCAAGACCACCAGGUACCGUGAGCAAUCACUGGAGCUGGAACACUGCUGCCUGAAGAAGAAAAGAAGUGCAGGCUUGUCAUUGUCUAUGCUGUUACUUGUGGUUCCCAGGUCUUCAGAGAGGAUGCACAAAGACGGGAGGCAGACUGGCAUCACAGGACCCUUCCGAGUAUUAACGCAGACCCUGGUGACAGAGGUCCAGUACCAAGUGCGCAGCUGUGCUGAGGUGCAGGGACAGGAGGCAGAAGGGCAGGUUCCAGCCCGCUCAGCUGGCCAUGGUAAGAUACUAGCUGGUGUCCUAGGGCAGCAAGGCGCCUCCCUCUCCAGGUUCUGAAGAGAAAACACUGCAGUCUGAGUUUCUGUUGGGACCUGAGCAGAAGACAAGGAAGCCCAGCUAGGCACCCACAGCUGCUCCUGCUCUCUGUAAUCGGCCGCCAUCUUCCUUCAUUCUUUCAUGACUGAGGUGCGCGUACAGGAAGCAGAGGGGCAGGUUCCACCCCGCUCAGCUGGCCAUGGUAAUCUACUUGCUGGUGUCCUACUCUCCCGGUUCUGAAGAGAAAACACUGCAGUCUGAGUUUCUGUUGGGGCCUGAGGAGUAGUCAAGGAAGCCCAGCUAGGCACUCACAGCUGCUCCUGCUGUCUGUAAUUGGUCGCCAUCUUCCGCCAUUGCUAGGAAUCAUGGGCAGGAGGAGAGUGGCCCUGUGAGUUUUGAAACCGUGUCCUCAUGGUGGCAGUAGAGCUCCAAACAAGAGCUUGUGAGUGCUUCUCCCCCGCCCUUCCUGUCUGAAAAAACUCCAAAGAUGGCUGUCCUAACUUUUUAUUUUGAUUUUUCUUUAUUUUUCCAGACAGGAUUUUGCUGUAUAGCCCUGGCUGUCCUAGAACUCACUUUGUACAACAGGUUGGCAUCGAACUCAGAAAUCCACCUGCCUCUGCCUCCCGAGUGCUGGGAUUAAUGGUGUGCACCACUAUGCCCUGCUGUCUGCCCUAACUUUUACCCAGCUUUGAAUAGUUUCAACUGUAUUUUAUUUUUUUGUCACAUGUUCCAUGUGAAGCCAAUCUGAGGCCCUAGGUAAUGGGACUAUUUUCCUUCAGUUAUGUAGGGUUUUUCCUUUUUCUCCCUUUAUAAUUGUUGAUUUUUUCUUUUUCAGAUACUUAAUGGUUUUCAUAAAAUUUUGAUAUGUUUAAUUUUGUGUCAGUUUUACAUGAUAAAGAUAUGGUAGCAGAUUUAGAAGCCAAGGACUAUGCUGAGCCCUAGUCCUAGUGAACUACAAGAGGCUGGAUGGCCUGGGCCUUUCCAGUAGGCUUCUGUCUUUUCGUCUGGGAGUUCCAGAAUAGUCCAUGCUACCAUACCCAGAGGACAGGAGUAGGUUUAACUUUGUCUUAAGUAAACUAUCAAUAAACAAACACUUGCCAGUUGAUAAUUAUAUCUC